rnacentral:rRNA from 1 species
AUUGAACGCUGGCGGCAGGCCUAACACAUGCAAGUCGAGCGGAUGAAGCGAGCUUGCUCCUGGAUUCAGCGGCGGACGGGUGAGUAAUGCCUAGGAAUCUGCCUGGUAGUGCGGGAUAACGUCCUGAAACGGGCGCUAAUACCGCAUACGUCCUGAGGGAGAAAGUGGGGGAUCUUCGGACCUCUCGCUAUCAUAUGAGCCUAGGUCGGAAUAGCUAGUUGGUGGGGUAAAGGCCUACCAAGGCGACGAUCCGUAACUGGUCCGAGGGGGAGAUCAGUCAGCUGGUAACGGAGACGAGGUCCGUACUCCUAGGGGAGGAGGAGGUCGUGAAUAUUAGGCGAUGGAGCAGAGGGGUAUCGAGGCAUGCCGCGUGUGUGAAGAAGAUGCUGGGAUUGUAAAGCAAAUAAAGCUGGGAGGAAGGGAAGUAAGUUAAUACAUUGCGAUUUUGACGUUACCAACAGAAUAAGCAACGGCUAACUCCGUG